GCAUAUCAAUAAGCGGAGGAAAAGAAACCAACAGGGAUUGCCUCAGUAACGGCGAGUGAAGCGGCAACAGCUCAAAUUUGAAAUCUGGCCUUACGGUCCGAGUUGUAAUUUGCAGAGGAUGUUUCUGGCAAGGUGCCUUCCGAGUUCCCUGGAACGGGACGCCAUAGAGGGUGAGAGCCCCGUCCGGUUGGUCGCCGCGCCUCUGUGAAACUCCUUCGACGAGUCGAGUAGUUUGGGAAUGCUGCUCUAAAUGGGAGGUAUACGUCUUCUAAAGCUAAAUAUUGGCCAGAGACCGAUAGCGCACAAGUAGAGUGAUCGAAAGAUGAAAAGCACUUUGAAAAGAGGGUUAAAAAGUACGUGAAAUUGUUGAAAGGGAAGCACUCAUGACCAGACUUGGGCCGGUUGAUCAUCCGCCGUUCUCGGCGGUGCACUCUGCCGGCCCAGGCCAGCAUCAGUUCGUCCCGGGGGAUAAAGGUUUCGGGAAUGUGGCUCCUCCGGGAGUGUUAUAGCCCGUUGCGUAAUACCCUGGGGUGGACUGAGGUUCGCGCAUUGCAAGGAUGCUGGCGUAAUGGUCUUCAGUGACCCGUCUUGAAACACGGACC
rnacentral:rRNA from 1 species